AUUUAAGUAAUUUAAGAUAAAAUGUUGAUUUGUGGUAUCAAGAAUGUAUAAUUAUACCUUAAAUU
rnacentral:tRNA from 1 species